AGGACGAACGCUGGCGGCGUGCUUAACACAUGCAAGUCGAGCGGAAAGGCCCUUCGGGGUACUCGAGCGGCGAACGGGUGAGUAACACGUGAGUAAUCUGCCCCUAGCUCUGGGGAUAGCUCCGGGAAACCGGGAUUAAUACCGGAUACGACCACCUUAGACAUCUUUUGUGGUGGAAAGAAUUUCGGCUAGGGAUGAGCUCGCGGCCUAUCAGCUUGUUGGUGGGGUAACGCCUACCAAGGCGACGACGGUA
rnacentral:rRNA from 1 species